AAAAAAAAAAAUAUAUAUAUAUUUAUAUAUAUAUAUUUGCAAGCAGAUAGCUAUGUAGCUUGCCAAUGUUUGUUUUGUUUUCCUCACGACAACGUCCCACAAGAUGCUAAAAAACAGAAAUAUUUAAAUUAUAUUUCGCGCGCCAGGAUCGUCAAGUCACAUGACAUCACUCUCCCAGAGUGAGUUGCAAGUGUAGGGUCGGUCAGCGAAAGAAAAGUGAAAAAUAAAACGGCAACGGCGCAUGGUAAAUAUGGAUGUUUCAUCACAAUGUUCCCCAUCUCCACAUCCUUGGCCUGCAGCUCCUGUCGAGAUAGGAAUUCCACAAUGCCAGCCCCAAUGGAGUCACCCAAGACGUUGGUUGUGGUACGCAGCCGAUCACUACAAUCCAGGAAUAACGAACCAAUCAACUGCAAUGAUGAGGGUGAUGUCAUCAGUGGGAAGUCCAACAGAGGUCAACACAAUCACCAUGGUGACAAGUCCAGCCUGUGGUAUCCCAGCAGCUCCAAUACUUGCUGCAGUGGCUGUGAUGCUGUUUUAUAGCAC